AUUUUCGAUUCCACUCUCUUCCGUUUCUGUCGCCGCAGUCGUCCGCGGUGCGGCACAUUCGUUCCCCUAGGACUCCGGCCGGUUGCCGGCCCCAGGCGGUGCUUCUCCCCACCACCGCCCAGCUCAGCUCAGCCCAGCCCAGCCCACUCUGCCCUUAGAGGCCCUUCUCCCCAAAGACGCACUACAGAAGUCUCGCCCUCGUGCAGCUGAGGAGCCUGGGAUCCCAGACCUGAACAAGUGAAACCCCCGCCCCUGAAGAAUGGGUAAGACGUUUUCCCAGCUGGGCUCUUGGCGGGAGGAUGAGAACAAGUCAAUCCUGUCCUCCAAACCAGCCAUUGGCAGCAAGGCUGUCAGCUACUCCAGCACCGGUAGCAGCAAGUCUUUUUGUUCCUGUGUACCUUGUGAAGGAACUGCUGAUGCCAGCUUCGUGACUUGUCCCACCUGCCAGGGCAGUGGCAAGAUUCCCCAAGAGCUGGAGAAGCAGUUGGUGGCUCUCAUCCCCUAUGGGGACCAGAGGCUGAAGCCCAAGCACACGUAAGCCCCCCUUCCUCCCCUAGCUUCACAAGCCAUCGCCCCUGGGGGCUGCUCCCUUUGUCUCCCCUGUUUUGAUCUCCCUUAAUUUCUUCCUAUUAGUUCUUC
rnacentral:sRNA from 1 species